rnacentral:lncRNA from 1 species
GAAAAGAGAAAAUGUUACACCCAAUGAGUUACGGCAUGAUAUUUCACUUCCUCAAAAACGAGCUUGUCCAAAAAAACUCGUGCAAUAAAAUUUAAAAGGAUAUUCAAUUGUUUAAGUCAAAUGAAGAAAUCGCAGCCCAAUACGUUAAGGCACAAUUUCUCAAAAUUCUAAACAUUGAAUAUUACCUUUAUUAUUUUAAAAAAAAA